rnacentral:rRNA from 1 species
CGGGCGCGAAGCCGGUCUAAGUCCCUUGGAACGGGGCGUCGCAGAGGGUGAGAAUCCCGUAUGUGACCGGCGAUCAAGCCUCUGUGAAACUCCUUCGACGAGUCGAGUUGUUUGGGAAUGCAGCUCAAAAUGGGUGGUAAAUUUCAUCUAAAGCUAAAUAUUGGCCAGAGACCGAUAGCGCACAAGUAGAGUGAUCGAAAGAUGAAAAGCACUUUGGAAAGAGAGUCAAAAAGUACGUGAAAUUGUUGAAAGGGAAGCGCUUGCAACCAGACCUGCCCGCGGGCGAUCAGCCGUCCCUUGGGGGCGGUGCACGCGCCCGCGAACAGGCCAGCAUCGGUUCGGGCGGCCGGAUAAAGGCCCGGGGAACGUAGCUCCUCUCGGGGAGUGUUAUAGCCCCGGGUGCAAUGCGGCCCGCCUGGACCGAGGACCGCGCUUCGGCUAGGAUGCUGGCGUAAUGGUCGUAAGCGGCCCGUCUUGAAACACGGACCAAGGAGUCUAACAUCCAUGCGAGUGUUUGGGUGUCAAACCCAUGCGCGUAAUGAAAGUGAACGGAGGUAGGAACCCAUAAGGGCGCACUAUCGACCGAUCCUGAUGUCUUCGGAUGGAUUUGAGUACGAGCAUGGCUGUUGGAACCCGAAAGAUGGUGAACUAUGCCUGAAUAGGGUGAAGCCAGAGGAAACUCUGGUGGAGGCUCGCAGCGGUUCUGACGUGCAAAUCGAUCGUCAAAUUUGGGUAUAGGGGCGAAAGUAAGUUACGAAUCUU